AUGCUUUCUUUGGCAGCACAUAUACUAGAAUUGGAAUGAUACAGAGAAGAUUAGUAUGGUCCCUGCACA
rnacentral:snRNA from 1 species